GCUGUGAAAUCCUUAUACCCAGUAUGGUGGCAUUAGGAGGUAGGGCUUUUGGAAGGUGAUUGGGUCAUGAAGUAGACUAUUGUGAAAGUAAUUAUUGCUGUAAUAAGAGAGAGCUGCACUUUCUAGCAAGAGCAAGAUUCUAUAUAUGAACCAGGUAUCCAAUUUGCUGACGCCUUGAUAUUGGACUUCUAAGCUUGCAGAAUCAUGAAGCAAAAUUUCCUUACCAACUGUUCCCUGGCUGUAGAAGUAGUGAGCUCCCUGUAAUGUAAUCUGAACUACGCAUUCUUUCUGAGGUGUAAUAGCAGAAUCUCAGGCUGCCCAGGGAUAGCUGCUCAUCCACAAAUGAGGAUUGCAAGCAAUAUUGCUAAAGUCUGAAAGAAUGAGGUGACAUCUACAAGGUCAAGCAAAUUCAGAAGCUGACAUUUGGGUCACAACUAAUGUGGGUCAGAGAAUAAAGCAUUACUUGGACUCCAAAGGCAUUUUGUUUUAGAAAUGGGCAGAGAGGCUGAGCAACCAAGCAUCCCUGGUGUGACUCAACACAAACACCACGGCUAUCUCUUGAAGCCCAUGAAAAUCACCCAGAGCUCUUGCUGUGUCUGGUGCAACCACUGUCUUUGGAAAGCCUGAGUUCUGCACCCUCCCUCUUCUCUCUUCUCAUUGAUUUCUUCUAGUCUGAUGGAGAUGGAAAAGAAUUCAGACAUGAGCUAAGCCAGUGUUCACUGGCUGGUGACUCCCGGAGCCAUACGUAAAAUAAACACCAUGUGUAAGUAGGUGGUAGUUUUCAGAACAGGCAAGAUAGAAGCUGAAUGUAUAGAAAG